rnacentral:rRNA from 1 species
UACGAAGGGUGCAAGCGUUACUCGGAAUUACUGGGCGUAAAGCGUGCGCAGGCGGUUUUGUAAGACAGAUGUGAAAUGCCCGGGCUUAACCUGGGAACUGCAUUUGUGACUGCAAGGCUAGAAUCUGGCAGAGGGGGGUAGAAUUCCACGUGUAGCAGUGAAAUGCGUAGAUAUGUGGAGGAAUACCGAUGGCGAAGGCAGCCCCCUGGGCUAAGAUUGACGCUCAUGCACGAAAGCGUGGGGAGCAAACAGG